rnacentral:rRNA from 1 species
CCUACGUGGCGCAGCAGUGAGGAAUAUUGGUCAAUGGGCGCGAGCCUGAACCAGCCAAGUAGCGUGAAGGAUGACUGCCCUACGGGUUGUAAACUUCUUUUAUAAAGGAAUAAAGUGAGGCACGUGUGCCUUUUUGUAUGUACUUUAUGAAUAAGGAUCGGCUAACUCCUUGCCAGCAGCCGCGGUAAUACGGAGGAUCCGAGCGUUAUCCGGAUUUAUUGGGUUUAAAGGGAGCGGAGAUGGGUUGUUAAGUCAGUUGUGAAAGUUUGCGGCUGAACCGUAAAAUUGCAAUUGAUACUGGCAGUCUUGAGUACAGUUGAGGUAGGCGGAAUUCGUGGUGUAGCGGUGAAAUGCUUAGAUAUCACGAAGAACUCCGAUUGCGAAGGCAGCUUACUAAACUGCCACUGACAUUGAUGCUCGAAAGUGUGGGUAUCAAACAGGAUUAGAUACCCUAGUAGUC